rnacentral:sRNA from 1 species
AGCAGCGUUAGCGUCACACAGCAAACUGGGCUACUAGCCGAGUAAGCCAGAGUCGACUAAAUGUACACCAAUGUACCAAAUCUACUCCUCACACUUAUUCUUGGAAAAUGAAUUGUAGGAAAUUACUUACAAUGGACCGUAGCAUAAUUUUCUUACUGACAAAGGUCCAAAACGGCGAGUCUCCACAUAACACUGGAAAGAUUACGAACUCAAAGAAUGAUGAGCGAUGUCCACCACGCGACUGAUGAUUGGUGUCGCAAGACAGUGUCAUUACUACCCAGACAUACUUGCACUUUACUCAAGAUAAAAACCUUUUUUACUUCAGAAGUUCAUUUCUAUAAUUUAAAAACAUUCUAAAUACGAAAGACUUCAACGGGCGUUUUCUAAUAAAUAUAUAUAUAUAUAUUUGCCUGUCAAGAACGACCCCCCCCCCAAAAAAAAAAAAUAUCAGAAGAAUGAGGCGAUUGAGAAAUAAGAAAAACUAUAAUGAUUUUGUACAGUACUUCAAUUCUGAAUUCAACUCGAAAAUAAAAACACUUAUCAAAAAGAGAA